UAGGGAAUAUUGGGCAAUGGAUGCAAGUCUGACCCAGCCAUGCCGCGUGGAGGAAGAAGGUCCUCUGGAUUGUAAACUCCUUUUGUCGGGGAAGAAGAGUCAUCUUGCGAGGUGAUGUGACGGUACCCGAUGAAUAAGCCACGGCUAACUACGUG
rnacentral:rRNA from 1 species